CAAUGCUGAGGUGAACUACUGCCCUUACCAUCCAUAAACGGAGACAUCCAAAACACUGGAAGUAGUCAGUUUAAUACUUCUGUCUGAAAUUAAAAAGAACAAUGAGAAAACAUUAUGAAUGCUGAUGGACAAGACCUUUUCUAUCAAGAGACAUGAGGUUGUCAAGGAAUCGCCUUCAAUAGCAGAUUUCAAAACUAGAUGGCCUGCUCUUUUCAGAAGGGAAGAGAUUUGUGCAGAGUUUAAAAGAAUCACAACAGCCCCAUUGGUGUCUACAUACUUGGCGAAGAUGAAUCCAUAUUCUGCAAAGCUUAUAAGGAUCUAUGCAAAACGAGGAGUCGUCAAUGGACAGAGAAUUAAAAACCUGCUGGUCUCCACAACACGGACUGACAACAUUGAUCAGACUCGGAUCUUUCUUUGUCUACCUGAAUGAAGACCCGACCAGUCUAAUUAAAGAGUAUUUGGAUACAGAUGCACCCAGUACCCAGGAGGCGAUCCAGAAGAUGGUAAUGGGAGUGCUUGUUGUAAAAAUGUAUGGUUCAGACAUCGAAGACAGCCCAGCAGAUGUUGGAGUGUUAUUAAAGGGAUUAAGAGUUCUCGGACCUCAACAACAUUGUGUAUGCGACAACCAUGCUGAUGGGACUGAAAUAUGAACUGAACUUGAGCUACUUUCCCAAAUUCAGGUACACUUUUGAAGUAUUGCAGUUGUUGUUUCUGGAGCUAGAUGGGAAGUAACUAUCUCAUAAAGUUCAGACGCUGAAGACCAAGCCUUUUGCAGAUGUUUUGAGAAAGGAAUGUUUUAAUAUUUCAUAUGUAAAUGCCAUGUUUUUGAAAUGGCAGUACAAUAACAUUCAGGAAGUAAGCAGUGUCGUCAAUUUAUUUUGAUAGUUUUGCAGUGUGUUUCUAUUUAAUUAGAUUAAUGUAGAGUUGUUUAAAGCUUUGGCUGUACGUAAAUGGUCCUGCAUCUAAUUUGUCAUGGAAUGUUAACGUUUAUAAUGUUUUUACAGUACCAUUUAACUUAAAAUUAUACCAAAGUUGUUGAAAAAUCUUUGGAAGUCGCAUGU